rnacentral:misc_RNA from 1 species
GAGGAGAGAAGUUAGAAGAGAGAGAAUGAGCCAUCCCUCAGAGCAAAGAUAAUAGUAUAGCUCACUUCUUACUAUUAGCCUAUCUUAAAGCCGAUAUAUGUACUAGAUUAGCUAUAAGGUUGGCUAUAAUUUUCUUCUCCUCUCUCUAUUUCUCACUUAU